rnacentral:rRNA from 1 species
CCUACGGGGGGCAGCAGUGGGGAAUAUUGGGCAAUGGGCGCAAGCCUGACCCAGCAACGCCGCGUGAAGGAAGAAGGCUUUCGGGUUGUAAACUUCUUUUCUCAGGGACGAAGGAAGUGACGGUACCUGAGGAAUAAGCCACGGCUAACUACGUGCCAGCAGCCGCGGUAAUACGUAGGUGGCAAGCGUUAUCCGGAUUUACUGGGUGUAAAGGGCGUGUAGGCGGGACAGUAAGUCAGAUGUGAAAACCAUGGGCUUAACCUGUGGCUUGCAUUUGAAACUGUUGUGCUAGAGUACUGGAGAGGCAGGCGGAAUUCCUAGUGUAGCGGUGAAAUGCGUAGAUAUUAGGAGGAACACCAGUGGCGAAGGCGGUCUGCUGGACUGCAACUGACGCUGAGGCACGAAAGCGUGGGGAGCGAACAGGAUUAGAUACCCGUGUAGUC